rnacentral:rRNA from 1 species
GGCUCAGGAUGAACGCUAGCUACAGGCUUAACACAUGCAAGUCGAGGGGAAACGAUAGAGAAAGCUUGCUUUUUCUAGGCGUCGACCGGCGCACGGGUGAGUAACGCGUAUCCAACCUGCCCAUCACUUGGGGAUAACCUUGCGAAAGUAAGACUAAUACCCAAUGACGUCUCUAGAAGACAUCUGAAGGAGAUUAAAGAUUUAUCGGUGAUGGAUGGGGAUGCGUCUGAUUAGCUUGUUGGCGGGUAACGGCCCACCAAGGCGACGAUCAGUAGGGGUUCUGAGAGGAAGGCCCCCCACAUUGGAACUGAGACACGGUCCAAACUCCUACGGGAGGCAGCAGUGAGGAAUAUUGGUCAAUGGACGAGAGUCUGAACCAGCCAAGUAGCGUGCAGGAUGACGGCCCUAUGGGUUGUAAACUGCUUUUAUAAGGGAAUAAAGUGAGUCUCGUGAGACUUUUUGCAUGUACCUUAUGAAUAAGGACCGGCUAAUUCCGUG